UCCGCUAGGUGGAGAUGACAAAAAUGAAC
rnacentral:piRNA from 1 species